rnacentral:rRNA from 1 species
AGUCGACGAAGUAGCAAUACUUAGUGGCAGACGGGUGAGUAACAUGUAGGUAUCUGCCCUUUGGCCUGGAAUAACACGAGGAAACUUGUGCUAAUACCGGAUAAGUCUUUACGGAGAAAGCUUUAUGCACCAUUGGAUGAGCCUGCACUUGAUUAGUUUGUUGGUGGGGUAAUGGCCUACCAAGACUGUGAUCAAUAGCUGAUUUGAGAGGAUGAUCAGCCACAUUGGGACUGAGACACGGCCCAAACUCCUACGGGAGGCAGCAGUGGGGAAUCUUGCACAAUGGAGGAAACUCUGAUGCAGCGAUGCCGCGUGAGUGAAGAAGGCCCUUGGGUUGUAAAGCUCUUUCGUCGGGGAAGAAAAUGACUGUACCCGAAUAAGAAGGUCCGGCUAACUUCGUGCCAGCAGCCGCGGUAAUACGAAGGGACCUAGCGUAGUUCGGAUUUACUGGGCUUAAAGAGUUCGUAGGUGGUUGAAAAAGUUGGUGGUGAAAUCCCAGAGCUUAACUCUGGAACUGCCAUCAAAACUUUUCAGCUAGAGUAUGAUAGAGGAAAGCAGAAUUUCUAGUGUAGAGGUGAAAUUCGUAGAUAUUAGAAAGAAUACCAAUUGCGAAGGCAGCUUUCUGGAUCAUUACUGACACUGAGGAACGAAAGCAUGGGUAGCGAAGAGGAUUAGAUACCCUCGUAGUCCAUGCCGUAAACGAUGUGUGUUAGACGUUGGAAAUUUAUUUUCAGUGUCGCAGCGAAAGCGAUAAACACACCGCCUGGGGAGUACGACCGCAAGGUUAAAACUCAAAUGAAUUGACGGGGACCCGCACAAGUAGUGGAGCAUGUGGUUUAAUUCGAAGAUACGCGCAGAACCUUACCAACACUUGACAUGUUCGUCGCGACUCUAGAGAUUAGAGUUUUCGGUUCGGCCGG